GAGACAGUGGCACAACGGAUAACGCGCCUGACCACGGAUCAAGAGAUUCCAUUUUCGAAUCCUGGCUGCCUCG
rnacentral:tRNA from 1 species